rnacentral:rRNA from 1 species
UACGGAGGGAGCUAGCGUUGUUCGGAAUUACUGGGCGUAAAGCGCACGUAGGCGGCUUUGUAAGUUAGAGGUGAAAGCCCGGGGCUCAACUCCGGAACUGCCUUUAAGACUGCAUCGCUUGAAUCCAGGAGAGGUGAGUGGAAUUCCGAGUGUAGAGGUGAAAUUCGUAGAUAUUCGGAAGAAACACCAGUGGCGAAGGCGGCUCACUGGACUGGUAUUGACGCUGAGG